CUAUCCAUUCCUCACAAUUGAAACCAACCACAAAGAGAGGCAAAGUUAACUACAAAUCCAGGCUCCAAACAUCAAGAAGAUGCAGCGCAUCACCGACGGUAAGAAUAGCUGGCCGGAACUGGUGGGAGUGGACGCAUUUUUAGCCAAAUCUACGAUUGAGAAAGAAAACAGCGACUUGGAUGUUGUGGUGGUUUUCCAAAACUGCCCCGUAACCCCGGAUUAUAAGCCUUGGCGAGUUCGUCUUAUCGUCGACUGUAGCAACGUUGUCAUAAGAACUCCGGUGACCGGCUAAUCUAGUUGGGACAUCAUUAUAAAGUGGAUGUUACGCUGUAACCCUGCCCCAAUAAUAAAUGUAAAACAUGGACUUCAUCAACUCCAUGUUGGACUAUGAAUCCUUUACCCUUAAAUAAGAGUGGCAAAUAAACAUCUGCUUUCUUUAUCCUUUAUC